CGUAGGGGGCAAGCGUUGUCCGGAUUUAUUGGGCGUAAAGAGCGUGUAGGCGGCUUUGCAAGUCCGUUGUGAAAACUCGAGGCUCAACCUCGAGACGCCGGUGGAAACUGCAAAGCUAGAGUCCGGAAGAGGAGAGUGGAAUUCCUGGUGCAGCGGUGAAAUGCGCAGAUAUCAGGAAGAACACCCGUGGCGAAGGCGGCUCUCUGGGACGGUACUGACGCUGAGACGCGAAAGCGUGGGGAGCGAACAGGAUUAGAUACCCUGGUAGUCCACGCCGUAAACGAUGGGUGCUAGGUGUGGGCGGUGUCGACUCCGUCCGUGCCGAAGCUAACGCAUUAAGCACCCCGCCUGGGGAGUACGGCCGCAAGGCUA
rnacentral:rRNA from 1 species